CAAUAAGCGGAGGAAAAGAAACCAACAGGGAUUGCCUUAGUAACGGCGAGUGAAGCGGCAACAGCUCAAAUUUGAAAUCUGGCCUUUGGCCCGAGUUGUAAUUUGGAGAGGAUGCUUUUGGUGCGGUGCCUUCCGAGUUCCUUGGAACAGGACGCCAGAGAGGGUGAGAGCCCCGUACGGUUGGACACCAAGCCUUUGAAAUAGCUCCUUCGACGAGUCGAGUAGUUUGGGAAUGCUGCUCAAAAUGGGAGGUAAAUUUCUUCUAAAGCUAAAUACCGGCCAGAGACCGAUAGCGCACAAGUAGAGUGAUCGAAAGAUGAAAAGCACUUUGAAAAGAGGGUUAAACAGUACGUGAAAUUGUUGAAAGGGAAGCGCCUGUGACCAGACUUGUGCCCUGUAAACCAUCCGGCGUUCUCGCCGGUGCACUUUACAGGGUGCAGGCCAGCAUCGGUUUUCCUAGGGGGAUAAAGGCCGCGGGAAUGUAGCUCUUUCGGGAGUAUUAUAGCCCGUGGUGUCAUGCCCUUGGGGGGACCGAGG
rnacentral:rRNA from 1 species